UAGAUGGCAGAAACAGAACAAGACCUGCAGAACAUGUUAUUAUGUGCAGUCUGUUGGUGUAAAAGAUGGAGACUCAACCAGACAAAAACACAGAUAAUGACUUUUAGAAACCAGGUACUAAGAGAAGUUCUCUUCUUGAGUUUACUAGCAAUUAUAAAUAUUUGGGAAUUUUUAUUGAUGAACAUUUUACCUUUCUAUACGGACCAUCUGCCCUGGCCGACUCAGCGAGUAGAGCUCUAAGGGGAGUUAUAGGAAAAAUAAAACCACUGAAAGAUAUUGGUUGCGCUGCGUAUUCUAAACUGUAUUAGACAUGCGUGAGUCCUGCUCUGGACUAUUCAGCAGGAGUGUGGGGUGCUAAGAGGUAUUUUAAAAAUGAACAUGUCCAUAACAGAGCUGUACAUUACUGUUUAGGUGUCCACACGUGUUCUGGGAACCCUGUGAGGUGAGAUGGAAGGAAUGCAUGGUGAGACUUUGGAAUAGACUGUUAGAUAUGCCAGAAUAGCUAGUAACAUUUUUCAGUGGGAUCUAUCCAUAGGGGGAGCCUGGGCAACUGAAAUAUCUGACCUUUUUCUACAUUCUGACUGUGAACAUCUGUACGUAAUAAACAAAUUACGGGAGACUAAAACACAACUGUUGAUGCAAUAUGAAAGAAAAAAUGGAUGGAGGAGAUUAAUCGUAAACCCAAAUUGAGGAUAUUUUGUUUUUAUUAAGUGUGAAUUUGUGUGUGAGAGAUAUAUUAUGUAUAACCUACCUAAAAGCAAUGUGCACAGGUAAGAUAAGGGAUAUUGCCUCUGCGUAUUGAAACAGGUAAGGUCAGGGAUAUUGCCUCUGCGUAUUGAAACAGGUAAGGUCAGGGAUAUUGCCUCUGCGUACUGAAACAGGUCAGAUCAGUGAUAUUGUCUCUGCGUAUUGAAACAGGUCAGAUCAGGGAUAUUGCCUCUGCGUAUUGAAACAGGUCAGAUCAGGGAUAUUGCCUCUGCGUAUUGAAACAGGUCAGAUCAGGGAUAUUGCCUCUGCUUAUUGAAACAGGUCAGAUCAGGGAUAUUGCCUCUGCUUAUUGAAACAGGUCAGAUCAGGGAUAUUUCCUCUGCGUAUUGAAACAGGUCAGAUCAGGGAUAUUUCCUCUGCGUAUUGAAACAGGUCAGAUCAGGGAUAUUGCCUCUGCUUAUUGAAACAGGUCAGAUCAGGGAUAUUGCCUCUGCUUAUUGAAACAGGUCAGAUCAGGGAUAUUGCCUCUGCUUAUUGAAACAGGUCAGAUCAGGGAUAUUGCCUCUGCUUAUUGAAACAGGUCAGAUCAGGGAUAUUGCCUCUGCUUAUUGAAACAGGUCAGAUCAGGGAUAUUUCCUCUGCGUAUUGAAACAGGUCAGAUCAGGGAUAUUGCCUCUGCUUAUUGAAACAGGUCAGAUCAGGGAUAUUGCCUCUGCUUAUUGAAACAGGUCAGAUCAGGGAUAUUGCCUCUGCGUAUUGAAACAGGUCAGAUCAGGGAUAUUUCCUCUGCGUAUUGAAACAGGUCAGAUCAGGGAUAUUGCCUCUGUGUACUGAAACUGGUCAGAUCAGGGAUAUUGCCUCUGCGUAUUGACACAGGUAAGGUCAGGGAUAUUGCCUCUGCGUAUUGAAACAGGUCAGAUUAGGGAUAUUGCCUCUGCAUACUGAAACAGGUCAGAUCAGGGAUAUUUCCUCUGCGUAUUGAAACAGGUCAGAUCAGGGAUAUUGCCUCUGCGUAUUGAAACAGGUCAGAUCAGGGAUAUUGCCUCUGCGUAUUGAAACAGGUCAGAUCAGGGAUAUUUCCUCUGCGUAUUGAAACAGGUCAGAUCAGGGAUAUUGCCUCUGCGUAUUGAAACAGGUCAGAUUAGGGAUAUUGCCUCUGCGUAUUGAAACAGGUAUUGUGGUGAAAUGGAAGAGGAAGACUAUGUAACUAUUGUGACCUUGAAGAAAUAGAGAAUGAAACUCAUUUGAUCCUCUAAUGCCCUUUCUACCACGACUUAUUCCAGAAAGUACACCAGAUAUACCUUGGCAUGGCAUUAUGUGGCUGAGCGAUGAGGAUGAAUGUUUUUUUGUCCAUUGUGUAUUUCCGUUUGCGGAAUAUUUAAAGCCUGGAAUAAAAGAAAAAGGGCUACCUAUAAUUUGUAAAAAUAUUCAGCUUCUAUGUGGUAAAUGGCACGUGUGUAUAAAAAUUGUGUAUAGGCUUGUCUCCCAUAUGAAUCUUCUAUGUGGUAAAUGCACGUGUGUAUAUAGAUUGUGUAUAGGCUUGUCUCCCAUAAGAAUCUUCUCUUUGUGCCAGACUGGGUUCAAAUGCCUUCCGUUUCUUUUUUUCUAUGUUUAUUUAUCUGUAUAUGUUGUGUGUGUAUGUAUGUAUGUACAUUAUUGUACUGUUCUAGGCAUGUAAUGUUUGGAUAACCUUAUUUACUAUUGUGUAUUGAUUUUUACCUUACAUUUUGUUCACUCUUCAUGCGAUGCGCAAUGCAGAUUGAAUCAUUGUUUAAUUACCACAGGGAAUUAUUGUAAUCUUUGUUUAUGUGUCAAUUAAUCCCAUAAGGGAUGGGUUGCCAUGAGGCGAUUUGACACG